rnacentral:lncRNA from 1 species
GAAUAGCGAUCCUGUUGGCGCCCUUGCGCCUUGAAAAUAUCGAAUGUCGAUAUCGCUCCGCCACCUAUCGUCCCUUUUGCUAAUUAGAGAUUUUGGUUGCCUAGUUCCACUAUAGAUGGCGUAGGCAUGUCGAUUGGCACCCGGUUGUUCCCCGCCCUUUCUUCGUCUAUUUUUAGCACGCGUCCGAUCCCGCGUUGCCAGCGCACUCUCUAAGGUUCCUCCCCCAGACGGAAACUUGUUGAAUCCCGUUCCGACCGGCGUCCCCGUUGGUGUGCUCUCUCAGUUUUCUCUGGUGAAAAACGUGUCUUUUGUGGAAAGUUCUCGAUUUAUCUAGCCUUUUUCGGUUCUCCAUCCUUGGAUUAACCUGUCAUUUCUUCCUAAUCGUCGUACUGGUUGUAUUCAGAAUUCAUGAAUUAUACCUCCCUCGAAAUCUAGCACCUAGGUCCCCAGCCCCCCUUCAUAGGCUUACCUCAUGGUUGCUAAUUUCAACCCUGACGAAUAUUAGUGUAUUUUCAUCCCUUUGUUCCCUCCUUGCCCUACAUUCCCUUUCUUAGAGCUCAAAGUGAACGAAUCAUACCCUUUGGUCCCUUAUCCCUCGCCCUUAAAGUCCCAAAUCCCUUGGAAGCUACAAGUUCAAGGUCAUGCGUAGACCCCUCAUCAUGGAAAGCUAAGUUUUCUUCUAUGACUUCAUGAGCAAGUCUGGUCACCCAGGAAUAAUGGUUCGAUGGUCUCUGCACACUAAAACCCAAUGGUAAGCCUUCAUGUUUCACUCAGACAUACCUUUAUAACCUCAUGACGAUCAAUGUACUAUGUGUUCCCACACCCCCGCCCAUUUUCAGAUUCACCUAAGUCCAAUUGCUUAGGCCCCCAAGAUACAGUCCACUUAAUCCAUUUUAUCGGAAAAUAAGCCCCAAGAUCGGUUUUACCUUUCGAUUUUAUAGCGGCCCAAACAGAUCCUUAUUUAACUACUUGCCGAAAUGUGCCUUUAUGACGUUGAGGAAUUUUGGUGUUAAUCUUUAAAUUUUUAUUUGAAUUCUUGGUCAGUAUGAUA